rnacentral:rRNA from 1 species
AAGCAGGUCAUAGUGAUCCGGUGGUUCUGAAUGGAAGGGCCAUCGCUCAACGGAUAAAAGGUACUCCGGGGAUAACAGGCUGAUACCGCCCAAGAGUUCAUAUCGACGGCGGUGUUUGGCACCUCGAUGUCGGCUCAUCACAUCCUGGGGCUGAAGUAGGUCCCAAGGGUAUGGCUGUUCGCCAUUUAAAGUGGUACGCGAGCUGGGUUUAGAACGUCGUGAGACAGUUCGGUCCCUAUCUGCCGUGGGCGCUGGAGAACUGAGGGGGGCUGCUCCUAGUACGAGAGGACCGGAGUGGACGCAUCACUGGUGUUCGGAUUGUCAUGCCAAUGGCACUGCCCGGUAGCUAAAUGCGGAAGAGAUAAGUGCUGAAAGCAUCUAAGCACGAAACUUGCCCCGAGAUGAGUUCUCCCUGACUCCUUGAGAGUCCUGAAGGAACGUUGAAGACGACGACGUUGAUAGGCCGGGUGUGUAAGCGCAGCGAUGCGUUGAGCUAACCGGUACUAAUGAACCGUGAGGCUUAACCUUACAACGCCGAAGGUGUUU